rnacentral:rRNA from 1 species
ACUUGAAUUGAAGAGUUUGAUCAUGGCUCAGAUUGAACGCUGGCGGCAGGCUUAACACAUGCAAGUCGAACGGUAACAGGAGAAAGCUUGCUUUCUUGCUGACGAGUGGCGGACGGGUGAGUAAUGCUUGGGAAUCUGGCUUAUGGAGUGGGAUAACGACGGGAAACUGUCGCUAAUACCACGUAUUAUCGGAAGAUGAAAGUGCGGGACUGAGAGGCCGCAUGCCAUAGGAUGAGCCCAAGUGGGAUUAGGUAGUUGGUGGGGUAAAGGCCUACCAAGCCUGCGAUCUCUAGCUGGUCUGAGAGGAUGACCAGCCACACUGGAACUGAGACACGGUCCAGACUCCUACGGGAGGCAGCAGUGGGGAAUAUUGCGCAAUGGGGGGAACCCUGACGCAGCCAUGCCGCGUGAAUGAAGAAGGCCUUGGGUUGUAAAGUUCUUUCGGUAUUGAGGAAGGUUGAUGUGUUAAUAGACAUCAAAUUGACGUUAAAUACAGAAGAAGCACCGGCUAACUCCGUGCCAGCAGCCGCGGUAAUACGGAGGGUGCGAGCGUUAAUCGGAAUAACUGGGCGUAAAGGGCACGCAGGCGGUUAUUUAAGUGAGGUGUGAAAGCCCCGGGCUUAACCUGGGAAUUGCAUUUCAGACUGGGUAACUAGAGUACUUUAGGGAGGGGUAGAAUUCCACGUGUAGCGGUGAAAUGCGUAGAGAUGUGGAGGAAUACCGAAGGCGAAGGCAGCCCCUUGGGAAUGUACUGACGCUCAUGUGCGAAAGCGUGGGGAGCAAACAGGAUUAGAUACCCUGGUAGUCCACGCUGUAAACGCUGUCGAUUUGGGGGUUGGGGUUUAACUCUGGCGCCCGUAGCUAACGUGAUAAAUCGACCGCCUGGGGAGUACGGCCGCAAGGUUAAAACUCAAAUGAAUUGACGGGGGCCCGCACAAGCGGUGGAGCAUGUGGUUUAAUUCGAUGCAACGCG